rnacentral:lncRNA from 1 species
GUGCUGAAGUGAGCAACGAAAGAAUGUUCUAGCUAUCCGAAAGAAUAUAUGCUUCCCGACUGAAGUCCGGAGUACCAAGCACGAGCAGCUUUUCGAAGAGUUGCCGGAAAGCCGAUGCAUAAGAGGACGUCAGUCGCCUCCUGAAUCGUCAUGAGAGCUUUGUAGCUCUCAAGGUGAUCAACAGGAUCGGUGAAACCAUUAUAGGAUUCUACGUGCGGCAUCUUGAACCGAGUUAGGAUCAGUUCGUCCAAGACAUGUCGAGAGAGAGGUUGGGCAGUACGAAAAUCAAAAUCGUUUGAAGAUUUAUGACCGUCCACCUGUAGUUGGGUAAGUCGACGGUCGAUUUCUUUGAACUUACGUUCGUAGUCUUCGAGCCGAUGAGAGAGCCGAGAUGACCGCUUUGGAGGAA